CGAACGCGGUGAACUGAAACAUCUAAGUAACCGCAGGAAAAGAAAUCAACCGAGAUUCCCAAAGUAGUGGCGAGCGAAAUGGGAAGAGCCUGUACUCUUUAUUUGUAUUGUUAGCCGAACGCUCUGGAAAGUGCGGCCAUAGCAGGUGAUAGCCCUGUAGGCGAAAACAGUAUGAAAGAACUAGGUGUACGACAAGUAGGGCGGGACACGUGAAAUCCUGUCUGAAGAUGGGGGGACCAUCCUCCAAGGCUAAAUACUCGUGAUCGACCGAUAGUGAACCAGUACCGUGAGGGAAAGGCGAAAAGAACCCCGGGAGGGGAGUGAAAUAGAUCCUGAAACCGCAUGCAUACAAACAGUCGGAGCCUCUUCGGGGGUGACGGCGUACCUUUUGUAUAAUGGGUCAGCGACUUACGUUCAGUAGCAAGCUUAACCGAAUAGGGCAGGCGUAGCGAAAGCGAGUCCGAAUAGGGCGUUCAGUUGCUGGGCGUAGACCCGAAACCAGGUGAUCUAUCCAUGGCCAGGAUGAAGGUGCGGUAACACGUACUGGAGGUCCGAACCCACUAACGUUGAAAAGUUAGGGGAUGAGCUGUGGAUAGGGGUGAAAGGCUAAACAAACCUGGAAAUAGCUGGUUCUCUCCGAAAACUAUUUAGGUAGUGCCUCGUGUCUCACCUUCGGGGGUAGAGCACUGUCAUGGUUGGGGGGUCUAUUGCAGAUUACCCCGCCAUAGCAAACUCCGAAUACCGAAGAGUGCAAUCACGGGAGACAGACAUCGGGUGCUAACGUCCGGUGUCAAGAGGGAAACAACCCAGACCGCCAGCUAAGGUCCCCAAAUAUGGCUAAGUGGGAAACGAAGUGGGAAGGCUAAAACAGUCAGGAGGUUGGCUUAGAAGCAGCCACCCUUUAAAGAAAGCGUAAUAGCUCACUGAUCGAGUCGUCCUGCGCGGAAGAUGUAACGGGGCUAAGCCAUAUACCGAAGCUGCGGAUGCGAGCUAGUCUCGCAUGGUAGGAGAGCGUUCCGUAAGCCUGCGAAGGUGCGUUGAAAAGCGUGCUGGAGGUAUCGGAAGUGCGAAUGCUGACAUGAGUAGCGAUAAAGGGGGUGAAAGGCCCCCUCGCCGUAAGCCCAAGGUUUCCUACGCAACGUUCAUCGGCGUAGGGUGAGUCGGCCCCUAAGGCGAGGCAGAAAUGCGUAGCUGAUGGGAAGCAGGUCAAUAUUCCUGCACCGUCGUUAGAUGCGAUGGGGGGACGGAUCGCGGAAGGUUGUCCGGGUGUUGGAAGUCCCGGUCGCUGCAUUGGAGAAGGCGCUUAGGCAAAUCCGGGCGCAGGAUUCAAGGGUGUGGCGCGAGCGCUCUAGGGCGCGAAGCAAUUGGAAGUGGUUCCAAGAAAAGCCUCUAAGCUUCAGUCUAACGAUGACCGUACCGCAAACCGACACAGGUGGGCGAGAUGAGUAUUCUAAGGCGCUUGAGAGAACUCGGGAGAAGGAACUCGGCAAAUUGGUACCGUAACUUCGGGAUAAGGUACGCCCUGGUAGCUUGACUGGCCUGCGCCAGAAGGGUGAAGGGGUUGCAAUAAACUGGUGGCUGCGACUGUUUAAUAAAAACACAGCACUCUGCAAACACGAAAGUGGACGUAUAGGGUGUGACGCCUGCCCGGUGCCGGAAGAUUAAAUGAUGGGGUGCAAGCUCUUGAUUGAAGUCCCGGUAAACGGCGGCCGUAACUAUAACGGUCCUAAGGUAGCGAAAUUCCUUGUCGGGUAAGUUCCGACCUGCACGAAUGGCGUAACGAUGGCCACACUGUCUCCUCCCGAGACUCAGCGAAGUUGAAGUGUUUGUGAUGAUGCAAUCUACCCGCGGCUAGACGGAAAGACCCCAUGAACCUUUACUGUAGCUUUGCAUUGGACUUUGAACCGAUCUGUGUAGGAUAGGUGGGAGGCUAUGAAACCGGAACGCUAGUUUCGGUGGAGCCGUCCUUGAAAUACCACCCUGGUUUGUUUGAGGUUCUAACCUUGGCCCGUGAUCCGGGUCGGGGACAGUGCAUGGUAGGCAGUUUGACUGGGGCGGUCUCCUCCCAAAGCGUAACGGAGGAGUACGAAGGUACGCUAGGUACGGUCGGAAAUCGUGCUGAUAGUGCAAUGGCAUAAGCGUGCUUAACUGCGAGACCGACAAGUCGAGCAGGUGCGAAAGCAGGUCAUAGUGAUCCGGUGGUUCUGUAUGGAAGGGCCAUCGCUCAACGGAUAAAAGGUACUCUGGGGAUAACAGGCUGAUACCGCCCAAGAGUUCAUAUCGACGGCGGUGUUUGGCACCUCGAUGUCGGCUCAUCUCAUCCUGGGGCUGUAGCCGGUCCCAAGGGUAUGGCUGUUCGCCAUUUAAAGAGGUACGUGAGCUGGGUUUAAAACGUCGUGAGACAGUUUGGUCCCUAUCUGCCGUGGGCGUUGGAAGUUUGAAGGGGGCUGCUCCUAGUACGAGAGGACCGGAGUGGACGAACCUCUGGUGUACCGGUUGUGACGCCAGUCGCAUCGCCGGGUAGCUAUGUUCGGAAGAGAUAACCGCUGAAAGCAUCUAAGCGGGAAACUCGCCUUAAGAUGAGACUUCCCCGGGGACUUGAUCCCCUUGAAGGGUCGUUCGAGACCAGGACGUUGAUAGGUCGGGUGUGUAAGCGCAGUAAUGCGUUCAGCUAACCGAUACUAAUUGCCCGUACGGCUUGAUC
rnacentral:rRNA from 1 species